AUUCAGCAGAGAGAAGCCCUCAGGAGUCAGGCUACGGAUUUGUUUAAAGAACCUAACCCUCCAGUUGUUUUUCAUUUUAGAGACUCCAGAGAACACUGCAGUUUCUCCAUGAGCCUGAGGCCAGUAAUACUGCAUGGAGCUUGAGAUUAGCAUGCAUAUGUAUGGAUUGUCUCUCUCUCUGCCCCCUCCAAUAUCAAUGUUGUUUAAAGUAUUGUCAAAGGAAAUCUAUCCCAUUCACAAGCUACAUUAGACACCUAUUUUUGGCAAUUAGAGUCCACAAAGCUCUGGAGAGAAGUAAUUUCCCUAAUUAACACCUUAACUGUAAAGGGGAAAGGAAGUGAGAAGUCCACAGAGGAGCAGGAAACUAACUGCCUAGUCCAGCCCACACUUGCAAUCUGUGCCCUUUCCAUGUGUGAAGGAAGGUCUGAAGGGAGUGAAAGAAGCAUCACUUAGACACAACUUCAGGCACCAGUCUCCACUCAGCCUAGACUAGACAGUACAGAUCAGAUGGCUCUCUUAUCUUGUUUUUCAUAACUCUAGUAGGGUUUUGCUGUUGCUUCUUUAUUUGUUCUUUUGUUUUUGGAGAUAGGACCCCAUAUAGCCCUGGUUGGCCUUGGUAUGUAGCUGAGGCUGGCCUUUAACUCCUUACUGUCUUACCUUCACCUGGGAUUACAGGUGUGUACCACUACGUCUGGCUUUUAAUUCUAAUAGUUUUUAAUUAUUCUUUUUCUAAAAAUCAAAUCAAGAUACUAUUAAAUACUGUGGGGGCGGGCCUUAUCUUGAUGUAGGUGCUAUACAUAGUGGAAAGGUGAAAAAAAAAAUGUGUUGGCUUCAGUAGCACAUAUACUAAAAUUGGAAUGAUAUAGAGAAUGCUACCAUGGCCCUGGCACAAAGAUAGCAUACAAAUUCAUGAAGUGUUCCAUAUAAAAAAAUGUCCACACUGCUGGGUGGUGGUUGUGCAUGCCUUUAAUCCCAGCAUUUAGGAGGCAGAGACAGGUGGAUCUCUGUGAGUUCCAGGCCAGCCUGGUCUACAGAGCGAGUUCCAGGACAGCCAGAGAAACCUUGUCUUGAAAAACAAAACAAAGAAACAGAAAAGUCCACAUUGAUCUGAGGUUGAAUCUGAGGGUUACCAUUUCUUCAUGACUUUGAGUAAGUUAUAGUAUAUCAAAAAGCUGUACCUGUAGUUACCUUUUAUAAUAAAAAGGUAAAUGUUCACUUCAGCUGUGCCUUGAACAGAUAUCUAAGAGAAAACCUCGGCUUGGAUCAUUUUCAGCUUGGAUCACUUUCUGCUUAAUUCACUUUUUUUGUUUGUUUGUUUUGGUUUUGGUUUUGGUUUGUUUUUUCGAGACAGAGUUUCUCUGUGUAGCUCUGGCUGUCCUAGAACUUGCUCUGUAAGCCAGGCUGGCCUUGAACUCACAGAGAUCCACUUCCCUCUGCCUCUAGAAUGCUGGGAUUAAAGGCAUGCACCACCAUCGCCUGGCUAUAUUUUUAUUUUUUAAAGAUUCAUUUUUAUUACUUUUAAUUGUGUGUAGUGGUGUGUGUGUUUAAGCAAAUGCAAAUGCCUGGGGGAGGCCAGAGGCAUCGGAUUCCCCUGGAGCAAGUUAUAGGCAGUUGUGAGCCACCUGAUGUGGGUGCUGAGAAUCAAACCCCGGUCCUCUGUAAUAGCAGUUUGUGCUCUUAACCACUAAGCCAUCUUUCAAGCCCCAACCCCUAUUUUCAUUGUUUUGUUUUUGAAGACAGAGUUUCUUUGUGUAACAGACUUGGCUGUCCUGGAA